GACGAACGCUGGCGGCGUGCCUAAUACAUGCAAGUGGAACGCUGAAGAGAGGAGCUUACUCUUCUUGGAUGAGUUGCGAACGGGUGAGUAACGCGUAGGUAACCUGCCUUGUAGCGGGGGAUAACUAUUGGAAACGAUAGCUAAUACCGCAUAACAAUGGAUGACACAUGUCAUUUAUUUGAAAGGGGCAAUUGCUCCACUACAAGAUGGACCUGCGUUGUAUUAGCUAGUAGGUGAGGUAAUGGCUCACCUAGGCGACGAUACAUAGCCGACCUGAGAGGGUGAUCGGCCACACUGGGAAUGAGACAAGGCCCAGACUCCUACGGGAGGCAGCAGUAGGGAAUCUUCGGCAAGGGGGGCAACCCUGACCGAGCAACGCCGCGUGAGUGAAGAAGGUUUUCGGAUCAUAAAGCUCUGUUGUAAGUCAAGAACGGGUGUGAGAGUGGAAAGUUCACACUGUGACGGUAGCUUAACAGAAAGGGACGGCUAACUACGUG
rnacentral:rRNA from 1 species